rnacentral:rRNA from 1 species
AUACGUAGGGGGCGAGCGUUGUCCGGAAUGACUGGGCGUAAAGGGCGUGUAGGCGGCCGAUUAAGUCUGGAGUGAAAGUCCUGCUUUCAAGGUGGGAAUUGCUUUGGAGACUGGUUGGCUUGAGUGCGGAAGAGGUAAGUGGAAUUCCCAGUGUAGCGGUGAAAUGCGUAGAUAUCGGGAGGAACACCAGUGGCGAAGGCGACUUACUGGACCAUAACUGACGCUGAUGCACGAAAGCGUGGGUAGCAAACAGGAUUAGAUACCCUGGUAGUCCACGCCGUAAACGAUGGAUACUAGGUGUAGGGGGUUUAACGCCUUCUGUGCCGAAGCUAACGCAUUAAGUAUCCCGCCUGGGGAGUACGACCGCAAGGUUGAAACUCAAAUGAAUUGACGGGG